AUUGAACGCUGGCGGCGUGCUUAACACAUGCAAGUCGAACGCGAAAGGGACUUCGGUCCUGAGUAAAGUGGCGCACGGGUGAGUAACGCGUGGAUAAUCUGCCCUUAUGAUCGGGAUAACAGUUGGAAACGGCUGCUAAUACCGGAUACGCUCAAAAUGAACUUUUUGAGGAAAGAUGGCCUCUGCUUGCAUGCUAUCGCGUAAGGAUGAGUCCGCGUCCCAUUAGCUUGUUGGCGGGGUAACGGCCCACCAAGGCAUCGAUGGGUAGCCGAUGUGAGAGGAAGAUCGGCCACACUGGAACUGAAACACGGUCCAGACUCCUACGGGAGGCAGGAGUGGGGAAUAUUGCGCAAUGGGCGAAAGCCUGACGCAGCGACGCCGCGUGAGGGAUGAAGGUUUUCGGAUCGUAAACCUCUGUCAGAAGGGAAGAAACUACGUUGUGCUAAUCAGCAGCGUACUGACGGUACCUUCAAAGGAAGCACCGGCUAACUCCGUGCCAGCCGCCGCAGUAA
rnacentral:rRNA from 1 species